AGAUUGUUGACUGGGCAAGGUGGAUCGCUUGAGUCCUAGAGUUCAAGACCAGCCUGGGCAAUACAGCGAGCCCCCCGCCGCAAAAAAAAUUGUUUUAACAUUAGCUGGCUGUGAUGGGGCAAGCCUGUACUUCCGGCUACUUGGGAGGCUGAGGUGAGAGGAUCGCUAGAGCCUGAGAAGUCGAGGCUGCAGUGAGUUGUGAUCGCACCACUGCAUUCCAGCCUAGGAGAAGGGGCGAGACUGUCUCAAAAAAAAAAGCAGAUUAUUAGGAAACGGUAGAAAUGCCCAGAGGAACUAAAGCGGACCUAUGUUUGCUGGCUUUGAAUUCACUGCUGGGAACAUGUGGAAACUGCUUCAGCAAAGGGGUGUCAGAAAGAAUCCCCGGAACAAGUGUCAAAACACCCGUGGUUCUUUGUGCUUGAGUUGGGGGCCCGGCCUAGAGAGCUAGCCCUAAACUGCUGCUACACUAAAAGCUAAUAAUCGUUCCUGCGCUACCUAAAGGUCAGGGAAGGGAUCUCAGACAAACGAGGCGACAACAGAGGGACUGGGGACACAGCCUCAGGAUUCCCCAGUUGGGGCGGGGGAGGCAGGAGCGGUCCGGACGAGAAGGUCUGGGGAGGGCGACACUUAGACUGUCGGAGGAAGGCCUGCGGCGGCAGAAGGAAAGACAAGGAAAUACACAGUUCUAGAGGCUUCUCUCACUCCAGUCCUCAGGGGUCCGGAAAGCCGGAGGGAGUAGAAGAGGAAGUUCCCAACCCCGUCACAGACGCGCCCGAACGCAGGCCCUCCUUACCCGCCGCUUCCCCUUCCCUCCGGCGCCCGCUCAGGCCCUGCGCGCGCAGUCGCGACCAGCCCCGGCCGGAGAGGGCGGGGGAAACCUGGCGGGGGUGACGAGGCGGGAGUGACUGGGCCGUACAGUUCCCCGAGAACUGGAGGCGAAGCCGGGCGGUGGGAAGGGACUUCGGACGCUUCGCGGGCCCUGGGUUUUCACUGCGCG
rnacentral:lncRNA from 1 species